CAGUAGAGAAUUGGGUCCAAUUAUAUCUUUAUUUUUCUAUAGUUUCCUUAUUUAUCUCAUUUUCAUUUGUUAAUCAAUCUGUCAAUCACUUAUUUUACACACACACACACACACAGUCCUUAUUUGUCAUAUCAACUAGAGCAAACUUAUGAUUGGUUAGAGGGAGUUAAGUCCCACCCUCUCUUCACGCAGAAGUCAGUGAGUUGCAGCGCGGGUAAAACAGCAGCGGUCGGAGCGGAUGAGAAAUAGAGAGUUAGAACAGCGAUUAUUAACAUAUCCAUGAGAUAAAAUACUCUUCUGAAGACGUCAGAGGUGUGCAAGGGUCCGUGAGCCAGGAGUAGUAGCACUUUUGGCAUUAUCGUCUUGGCUGGGUUUUUUGAGAACUAGAGAACUGGAUCUGGAUUCUCCCUGUGGAUGGGAGAUGGCGAGCCCCCAGUGAGAUCUCUUCUUAACCUAAGGAGUGAAGAACCGAGACCUGAGGAGAGGACCUCGUAUCUUUUUUUGCUUCCACUCAAGUAUCAGUGUGGUAGGACCACCACACAUCCGACUACUUGAAUUUUCCCCCCUGACUUGACAUAAAACAUUGACUUGAGCGCGCUGACUGAUAUCGCAAAGACAUUAAAGGGACAUUACACUCAUGGACACUUUCAAUUCAAGUUUUGCUGAAAGACUGUGAAAUCUUGAGAUAUUGAUGAUAAUUACACUGCAUUUUAUGUUCAUGUUUUAUAACUUGGUACAGUAAACUUACCUCACACGUUC